rnacentral:rRNA from 1 species
UACGUAGGCAGCAAGCGUUGCUCGGAAUUACUGGGCGUAAAGAGUGUGUAGGCGGUGCUCCAAGUCUGGUGUGAAAUCUCCCGGCUUAACUGGGAGGGUGCAUUAGAAACUGGAAUGCUAGAGGAUGGGAGAGGUAAGCGGAAUUCCUGGUGUAGCGGUGAAAUGCGUAGAUAUCGUUUGGAACGCCAAUGGUGAAAACAACUUGCUGGGGGUGUGCUGACGCUGAGACACGAAAGCCAGGGGAGCAAACGGG